GAAAUGCGAUAAGUAAUGUGAAUUGCAGAAUUCAGUGAAUCAUCGAAUCUUUGAACGCACAUUGCGCCCGCUAGUAUUCUGGCGGGCAUGCCUGUCCGAGCGUCAUUUCAACCAUCAAGCCCCCGGGCUUGUGUUGGGGACCUGCGGCUGCCCGCAGGCCCUGAAAACCAGUGGCGGGCUCGCUGUCACACCGAGCGUAGUAGCAAUCACCUCGCUCAGGGCGUGCUGCGGGUUCCGGCCGUUAAACAGCCUUACAAAACCCAAGGUUGACCUCGGAUCAGGUAGGAAGACCCGCUGAACUUAAGC
rnacentral:misc_RNA from 1 species